CGGAGUCUCGCCGUUUUACGGACGUAGGCAGCGAAGAGCUGGCACAUCUCUCCAAAGUGCUUCUCCACGUUGGUGACGUUCUCCUGGAUCUUCCGUGUCUGGUUGUCUCUGAGGAAGACGACCAACAACAUUAAAACCUGGUCUGAUUUCCAUUUACAAGGUCAGUAUCAGGCGUCUGCGGGGAACAUCACUUCCUCAUAUCCAGAGCAUGACAAAGGGACAAAUGCAGUCAGAGCGAGGACAAAAAGCAGGGGAGACGCUCCCCGCGCGGCCUGAGCCGCACCGUUCUCAUUCAACUGCCUUUUAUUUCAUCUCUGAGCUAUUGUUUAAUGAUAUCAGUCUCAAAGGCAGAAUAGACCUUUGGCCGUCGGGGAGGCGAUGUAUAAUUCAAAUCCAGUGAGAUGUGAUACAACACAGUUUUAAAAAGCUAGGUGUUGUGGAACCAUUAAAGCCCCACGGCUUUGCUCCGA